rnacentral:rRNA from 1 species
UGGGGAAUAUUGGGCAAUGGGCGCAAGCCUGACCCAGCAACGCCGCGUGAAGGAAGAAGGCUUUCGGGUUGUAAACUUCUUUUCUUAGGGACGAAGCAAGUGACGGUACCUAAGGAAUAAGCCACGGCUAACUACGUGCCAGCAGCCGCGGUAAUACGUAGGUGGCAAGCGUUAUCCGGAUUUACUGGGUGUAAAGGGCGUGUAGGCGGGAUUGCAAGUCAGAUGUGAAAACCACGGGCUCAACCUGUGGCCUGCAUUUGAAACUGUAGUUCUUGAGUACUGGAGAGGCAGACGGAAUUCCUAGUGUAGCGGUGAAAUGCGUAGAUAUUAGGAGGAACACCAGUGGCGAAGGCGGUCUGCUGGACAGCAACUGACGCUGAGGCGCGAAAGCGUGGGGAGCAAACAGGAUUAGAUACCCUGGUAGU